UUCUAGUAACAUCAUCAGUUGGUUGUAGCCUUUCCAGGCGCAGUACAAAGGAAUACAAUUUUGCCCAUAUUUAUUGUUGAGAAAUUUUCAUAAUUUUGCUGUCAAAGCAGCAUGUACACAGGAAUACAAUUUUGCUAUCAAAGCAACAUUUCAAACGUACAUCUUCAUGACAUCAUACAUAAAAACCAGCAAUAAAAAGAUUACAAUAUGCCAUUUGGCUCAAAUCACAUAACAUAUGACAUCCAGGUUCCAGCAACGAAAAAAGAUAACCACCACAUCAUACCAUCUGCACAUUCAAAGAGAACAAACUAUAUGUCAAAAGAGAACUGAGAAGAAAAUUGCCAAUAAAAGAAAGAAGAUAAUAUACUCUAUAAUUACUACAGAUUUGCUCACUAGACACACACACACACACACACACACACACACACUCUGCAUAUACAGAUUUGCUCCCCGCAAAAACAAUUCUGAACAGUUCGCUAUAAUAAUUUACGGCAAAGAAAUUCCCAAAACAGAGAAUGGUACAUCUCGAAAUUCCCCAAAAACAGAGGAAAUGCGACAUCCAUGACAAGCUGUGCCAUUACUAGAGGAUUUGAUUAAACCAACAAGUUGGAGUGUGUUGAAUAGAUAAAAGAAACUCAAUUAAUGGGGCAAUGCAAAUUCUUUACUCACUACCACACGGCAUUCACCUGUGAUUGAACCCUGCGGGCACAUACAAAUUAUCACUUAACCCGGUUAUGGAAUGAGCUGGUGCAAGAAUGAGGUAAUUCCUACUUUACGUUGGACUAACCAAACACUGUCCUUUAGUAUGUAAAACCUUCUGUUCUUCCAAAAGAUUCAGUAGUGGGCUAAAUUCUUUACUCACUACAGUUUCAACUAUUCCAUCUGGAAAAAAUUACCAGAAAAUCUCUGCAGAUAACCAUUACCACCAAUCAGUUGUGACUCAAUUCUUCUUUCUUGACCCAAAUGCAUUCUUUCAGGC
rnacentral:lncRNA from 1 species